GGACUUGAUGACCUUUCAAAGUCCCUUCCAGUUCUAUGAGAUAGGUAUAUCUCCAUAUAUAUUAUCCAGUUAGGCUGUUUUGAUGUAAAAAUGCAGCUAACCUUGCCAGGUGGGCAUUUUGCUUUUCUGCUUUGUCCUGCCAAUCACAGCUGCUAGUAAAAGUGUAUGUCCUGCUUUUUUUCAUGGUGGUUGUUGGGUCAGGUGAGUAAAAGAUUUGCUUAGCAACAACAUUUUAAGGAUGCAUUUCCUUCAGAAAUUAAAAAAAAUCUUUCAGUGAGGAUUAAAGCAGAUUCUAGUAUAACUUUAGGCUAUGAUCUUGGAAAGACACAGACACUUAACUUUAUACGCUAUGAGCAGUGGCUGUGCACAAGUCUUUUUAAGAUUGGAGUCUGAGGUUUUUUGAGUAAUCCACUGUGAGAAUCAUAGUUGAAUGUAUGCACAAGGUUUAAUGGGGCUUCAGUAGCAUUCGCAAGAACAAUAUGUUGGAAGUAUUACAAGGAAACUAGAAUUUUCACUCUGCUUCUCCACUCAGUGAUUAAGAAGCCUUAAAAUCCAUGCAUUCUUUACAGUCCAGGACACAACUUUAUGGAUUGGUAUUUAACAAAAUUUCUCAAUCUUUUUUUCCUAACAGAGUUAAAAAUGAGAACACAGGUAAAGUAAUAAUCUAAAUUAUAGAGCAACAUCCAUUAUAUAAUAACAAAAGUCCCUAAAAUAAGUCAGCCUUAUUUGUAUUAAUCAAAUGCUGAGAAAUUUACUAAUGCUACCCCAGAAAUUACUGUAAUUAACUGUCUUCUGCACCUACUCCAAUCACUGUGGACUUUAAAAUAACAAACCCUUUUGUUUUCACAGAAGCCUGAAGCCACAAAGGGAAAGCAGCUGGUGUAGAGAAACAAAAUAGCACCAUAGUCCAGUAUCUCCCUCUACAACUUCAACUCAGGCAUCAGAUGGCUCUCCUCUUGUUCCUCCCUCUCUGACAGUCUGGCUGCAAGCUAACAGCCGACAGAAUUCCAGCAAACCAUGAUGAGUCUACUUUGACAGCUUCCCAUUUGUCAGGAAGCCGUCUGAAUGAAACUGGAGAAAAAGAAUUCAAGCUUUCCUUGGCAUUUUUCGCAAAGGGAACAUAAAAUCACUCUUGAUAAAGGAAGAUCAACUCUAGCAAUUAUAAUAAAGUAUGUGUCUCCCUCUCUACUAUGUGAUUUAAAACAUUAAGCAUAUGUGUUCCUGUCUUGUAACUCUCACUGAUUCAAUCCCCAGUAAUAUAUUGACAGAAGAUAAUUUCAGAUUAAAAGUAAAAUAUAAAUUCUU